rnacentral:rRNA from 1 species
AACAGGAUUAGAUACCCUGGCAGUCCACGCCGUAAACGAUGAGUGCUAGGUGUUGGGGGUUUCCGCCCUCUGUGCCGAAGGUAACCCAAUAAGCACUCCGCCUGGGGAGUACGGCCGCAAGGCUGAAACUCAAAGGAAUUGACGGGGGCCCGCACAAGCGGUGGAGCAUGUGGUUUAAUUCGAAGCAACGCGAAGAACCUUACCAGGGCUUGACAUCCCGCUGACCGGUGCAGAGAUGCACCUUCCCUUCGGGGCAGCGGUGACAGGUGGUGCAUGGUUGUCGUCAGCUCGUGUCGUGAGAUGUUGGGUUCAGUCCCGCAACGAGCGCAACCCUUGUCGUCAGUUGCCAGCACAUGAUGGUGGGCACUCUGGCGAGACAGCCGGUGAAAGCCGGAGGAAGGUGGGGAUGACGUCAAAUCAUCAUGCCCCUUAUGUCCUGGGCUACACACGUGCCACAAUGGCCGGUACAACGGGCAGCGAACCCGUGAGGGGGAGCCAAUCCCAAAAAACCGGUCUCAGUUCGGAUCGCAGGCUGCAACUCGCCUGCGUGAAGCUGGAAUCGCUAGUAAUCGCGGAUCAGCAUGCCGCGGUGAAUCCGUUCCCGGGCCUUGUACACACCGCCCGUCACACCACGAGAGUCUGCAACACCCGAAGUCGGUGAGGUAGCCUUCGGGAACCAGCCGCCGAAGGUGGGGCAGAUGAUUGGGGUGAAGUCGUAACAAGGUAACC